UGAGAGGCUAGAUUUCGAUAAAUUGCCAUGUCAUGCAGUUAAGGAUUUUAUAAAUCAGGUGGUAGAUAAAAUAAAGAUUAGCUACUGCAGUGGUGGGGUUCCGUGGACCAGCCUAUUAGAGGGGCACGGUAAACUCCUUUAUAUUCUCACCUCGAUCGUAGAGGCGCGUAGGGUAUCUCCUGAGGAGGGCUUUUUGAGUGCACUUCACGUUAACCACCACGUGAAGUGAGACUUAGUCAACACCAAGGAACGACUGUUUUUUUUCAAAAUAAAAACAAGUUUUGUGAUUAUAUAAAAUUUUUCACAACCUUGGCAGACUCGGUUGGAUACCCCUGGUCCAGGUGUCCCCGAGUACAAGAUUUGGCAUGAGCCAAGUUUUGAGAAAUUCACGAGCCAUAUUGAUUAUUUGGUUGAAAUGAAU
rnacentral:lncRNA from 1 species